AAGGCUCUCUCUAUCAUUCUCUCAAGCUAUGGAUAAAUGGGAAAGCGUUUCAUGCAUUGAAAAACCACCAAAGUGCCAUAUUCAAGGCUUAGGACAUAAAGGCUGUUCCAAGACGAAGAAGAAGAUGAUCAAGACUUCUGCUUCGUGAUCAAAACAAUGACGCUAUCUUAAUCUGAGCUUUAAUAAUUGGUAUUGUAGUAUUCCUAUUUUUUUUUUCUUGACCUUGUAAGACCUUUUCUCCACUCUUUUCUGCUUUCUUACUAUUUCCA